rnacentral:rRNA from 1 species
CACGUAGGGGGCGAGCGUUGUCCGGAUUUACUGGGCGUAAAGGGUGCGUAGGCGGCCGCGCGCGUGGCGGGUGAAAUCUCUCGGCUUACCCGGGAGGGUGCUUGCCAGACGGCGUGGCUUGAGGGACGGAGAGGGGCGUGGAAUUCCGGGUGGAGCGGUGAAAUGCGUAGAUAUCGGAAGGAACGCCGGUGGCGAAAGCGAGCUGCUGGAUCCCUCCUGACGCUGAGGCGCGAAAGCCAGGGGAGCGAACGGG